rnacentral:rRNA from 1 species
GACGAACGCUGGCGGCGUGCCUAAUACAUGCAAGUAGAACGCUGAAGAGAGGAGCUUGCUCUUCUUGGAUGAGUUGCGAACGGGUGAGUAACGCGUAGGUAACCUGCCUGGUAGCGGGGGAUAACUAUUGGAAACGAUAGCUAAUACCGCAUAAAAUUGAUUAUUGCAUGAUAAUUAAUUGAAAGAUGCAACUGCAUCACUACCAGAGGGACCUGCGUUGUAUUAGCUAGUUGGUGAGGUAACGGCUCACCAAGGCGACGAUACAUAGCCGACCUGAGAGGGUGAUCGGCCACACUGGGACUGAGACACGGCCCAGACUCCUACGGGAGGCAGCAGUAGGGAAUCUUCGGCCCUGGGGGGCCCCCUGGCCGCGCCCCGCCGCGUGAGUGAAGCAGGUUUUCGGAUCGUAAAGCUCUGUUGUAAGAGAAGAACGGGUGUGCGAGUGGCCCGUUCCCACUGUGCCGGUCUCUUCCCCGAAAGGGCCGGCUCCCUCCGUG